UACGUAGGGGGCAAGCGUUGUCCGGAUUUAUUGGGCGUAAAGGGCGCGUAGGCGGUUUCUUAAGUUUGAAGUGACAGUGGGUGACUUAACUACCCAAGGCCUUUGAAGACUGGGGAACUUGAGGACCAGAGAGGGACAUAGAAUUCCGGGUGGAGUGGUGAAAUGCGUAGAUAUCCGGAGGAAUACCAAAGGCGAGGGCAGUGUCCUGGAGGGUUAACUGACGCUGAGGCGCGAAAGCUAGGGGAGCGAACAGG
rnacentral:rRNA from 1 species